GGUUUUAUUUUCUUUAUCAGAAUUCCCAAUUAGAACACUCAUCGCAGUACUAUAUCUCCAUUUAGGAAAUUUAUUUUCACAAUCAAAACUCUAAAAUGAAGUUUAAAUCAUCAGCUUUAUUAGAACUGCCCUCAUCGAAUGUUCCAUUGGUUGUGAAUAUUUUUAAAUUAUUCAACUGCACCAAGAUUGUUUCGGUGAAAUUUUCCAAGAAAUUCGGACUACCACAUAUCAGUUUGAAGACAAUCUUUCCUCUUUCAUUUGCCCUUUUCACUACUGUCAUACAUGUUUGUGGGGCACUAAAUUGGCUACGAACGAAUUGGCUGGCACCAUUACCAAACUGGAAAUAUGUCCUCAUUGCAUACAUUGGGUUUCUAAAUGGAGUCAUAACAAUCGGAUUGUUGCAUUACGAAAGGGUGAGAAAUGAGAUGCUGACACUGCUAAAUGCCUGCAUCGAUACAGAAGUGCGACUAAUUUUGGAAGGGGUGUCUGGCUAUGUUCAUCGGUAUUUCGCUGCAUUCUGCGCCAUAUUUGCAUCAACCUUUAUAUCGGUUCCAUGCGCAGUUUGUCUCAUGAGUUUCUUUCUACCUUGCAUGCCUCCCGUCUUGACCAGCACAAUUAUUCUAAAGUGUGAGGAUUGGAGUCAUGACGGAGAAGCAGGGUUGGUGAUCAAAUUUGUUAUGGGAAUGUACGAAAUAUACGCCUGAGUGGCAAUCGUUGGUACUAUAGGGAUAGGUGUGUGUAUCGGUUUACUAUAUCCCGUCGAGGUCAAACUUCUUAUUCUGGAUUACAUUGAAAACAAAGAGAGGGAAAUUAAACUUCAAAUUGGUAAUUGCCAUCUCUACAAGUACCGAGUGCUUCAGUUGAUAAGUACCUAUCAGAACAAUACUUGGUGUCAACCGUCAGUUCCAGUCGGGAUGGGAGGCGUUGCUGUGGGGGAAACUGUAUCACUCUAUAUCUUGGUAACCUCGUACGACCAAGCACCAGUCAUAAUUCUGCUGUUGUUCUUAAUCGCUGCUUUAGAUUGUUUUGUGGUAAUUCACAUUGUCUGCAAAAUUAUAGCCAAGCCGUACUCUAAAUCCUCCAAUUUAAUGGCAUAUAUGAAAAUGAGAAAUUCCUCGAAAUGGGUAAGACAUUUUAUGAGAUCAUGUCAGCCAUCGAAGUUGUCGAUGGGGGAUGGAACGUUCUUUGACCAAUUGACGCCUUUUGUAGUGUGGCAAAAAUGUAUCGACUUGUUAAUUACAUUACUACUCAUGUAGACGGUCUAAGACCUCUUUCUAUAUAUUUCUUAAGAUGGCGUGAAUGGUAAUUAGUGAUGUUGGUUUGUGAACAUAUAACGAAAAACACAGAUUACAUAUCUAUGUAUUGUUAAUACUGUUAAUAUUGUUAAUAACAUUUAAUACUAGUUGUAAGAUCGUCUGUUAUUUAUUUAUGAUGUAGAAAGAAGUGGGUGUAAGCUAAUUAAUUUGCCUUAAAUACUUCAUAACAGCAUAAACAGAUUUUAAUUUUUUUAAAUUAUUUUUCGACUUAAGUUCGGUUUAAACUACAAGCCCGC